UGCCAUCCUACUCAGGAGGUCUCUCUCUUCCUGAGUCCCGAGCGACCUCGGGGACGAAAUACGUACGUUACGGGUACGUAAGUCGCCGCGCACCCCGGUGUGUGUUAACCGUUUUACGUUGCGUCCGUGCUCCGUUUUUCAUGUAACAAAAAAAAAGAAAGGGGAAAGGAGGAGAGCCAGGACCCAGAACGCGCGCGGUCCCGGCGGAGCAAGAGCGGUCCGGGGGUUGACCCGGUCGCGCACAGGACACCCGGUUCGGUCUGACGUCAGGAGCGCUUUAACUUGUUGGAUUCGACGCGAGUGCGACGCGAAAGUGAGCCGGUCCGUGAACGGCUACGACCCGAUUCAACCUCGGGGAUCGUGGUGAAGGUGCUGGACAGGACAGAACGGACGGACGGACGGACGGACGUACGGAUGAUGCCCCCCUCGCUUUCGGACCUGUCGCGACGCGACGGUGGGGACAGGGGAGGAAGGGGGCACUCGCUUUCCGGUACCGCGACGCGGUCACCUUGUCACGCGUUUUCCGCUGGUUCCGUCGCCGGUUCACGUCGGUUCGCCUCGUCAUCCGCUUUGUCGGCACUACUGUCACCGUCACUGCGCGCUCGGUUCGGUCGUUCCCCCGCGCGUUCCCCCGUGCGACGGACUCCCCCGGGUUCCUCGCUUCGCUUCGUGACGCUGUCGCUGUCGCCUCGGUCACUGACAGCCAGCUGCGAUCUUCCCCGCGGUGUUAACGCGAGAUCUCUCGCACUCGUGUAAAAAAAAAUUGAGCUAGACGGUGUCGCAAUGAUUCUGAGGCGAAUAGUGCAUGUAUUUCUUCAUUUAUUAGCUCCGUUUUCAUCCCCUUUUUUUGGCACUAGACCCACUUCUUUAUAGUUUGCGUUUCUGUUUAAUUACGUCAUCCGCGAAGAAGGAAAAAAGUGAACUUUUGAAAUGCGUAUCAUUCUUCGUAUUGUUAAUGUUGAAUCGCGGUAUCUGCAAGUGUGUAAUUCUCUAAUGACGUGUGCGAGCACAUUUUUUCUGGAGCAUGAACGUAUAAUAACUUUAAUGGACACUGUACACGUUUGUAAUGCAGGAACGUAUCUCGUUUUUCGACGAAACAAAACCCGCCUGUGCUUACGCGGAUGCCAGUUAUUUGUCAGUAUCUUUAAUCAUCGUAAAUUAUAUUAUCAUUGACGACAAUGAGACGGCGCGCGGCGGACAGAUAUGGAGUUAGCUCGACUUGCACAGCCGCUGGCUGUUGCACGCACACAAGCGAUGUUCUUAAAUCGUUUCAAAUACCGAUAAUUGUUCGCCGACAUUGUUCGAGAACAUUGAUCCGGCUCUAACUCUCUCUCUCUCUCUCUCUCUUUCUCUCUCUCUCUGAUCGUUCGGAAGAUUUCGUGCGCGUCGAUUUCGUGAUGCUAUGUACUGUCACAAAUUCUGUGAUUUGAAACUCCCGUGUUAUCGCGCCAAUAGAGUAUCAGCCCUUGUCACUUCGGAAUGAAUACAUGAUUAAGCUUGAACCAGCGAGCUAAAGUUCGGUCUGUAUCUGUGUUCUCGAAUCCGGGACUAGAUCCGGAACUCGCGGAGAGGGCAUUCGUGCCUGUGCGGGGAAGUUUCCAGCGAGUCCAUUCGAGGACGAUGACGAGUGUUCCGCAUUUUUGACGCGUAACGUAACGCAGGCCGAUGGCGAGAUUCGCGAUAGCAAACGAGAGAAGUUACACGCGACGCGAUUUAUCUUCAGAUCUUGAAACGCAACGGCAAAUACACUUCUAAAGAGAAGAGUCUUACAUGUUUUGACUGAUCGAAAAACGGUGUAUUUAUCUCCCACAUUAAUUUCGAAUAAAAUUUUAGAAGGAAAGUUUCGAAGAUUUAGAUAAUAGAUUGAUAUUUAAUUACAUGGGAUUGUUGUAGUAUACGUAAUGGAAUUUUUUGAGUGUGCACAUCUCUCUCGCGGCGAUUUCUCUUGUCAGUAAAUUACUUUCCGCGCUCGAACGCUUGUGCCAAAAUAUGCAACACGCUGUCACCGUACUGCGACGCGUGCAGCGAAAAUAUUUGCCUACCGAAAUAUUUGGACCUGUCGGAGCGAUCGCGACGUGCACGCCAGCCAGCAAUCCAGAGCGCUCUACGCUCUGGUGCGGUGGCACUCGAACUGCCGAAUAUAUAUCUAAUAUUUAAUACUAGAGGCCUGUUAACGAGGAAUAUUCGUCAUCAUCACUCGGCGGCGUUAAUCAAUAAGAUUUGCCCGCGGAUAGAUCGCGUACGAAAGCGCGGAAAAUCCCGUCCGACCGGUGACACGUCCUCAAAUUUCAUUUCUGACGGGGGGCCGCCCAACAAUAAUUGUCAAUCGCCACGUCCAAAAUCAACCUGGUGGUAGUAUCGACGAGAGAUCCCCGCGUGUUACGUCUCUCGCAGAGACACGUAUAGCGCGACACGCUCUCGUUGGGGCUAUACGAUCUUCCCAAAAUUUUUUCGGCCGGCGAUUAAUCACCCCGGCCGGUUAACGUAAUCAAUCUCGAUGUCAAUGCGAUUUCGUCUCUCGUCGGUUUUUUUCUUCUUCUCUCCGUUAGCUGUGUGUUAACGUCACCGGGUGAGAGUGUGCGCCCGUGUGGUGGAGGAUGUUCUGGGAAAUUCGUUUCGCGAAAGAGAAUAGCCCGACCGGUGCCAGCGACUUCGGAUCGAAGUUUGGAAACGCUUUGUUCCCGCUGAAAAAGGUGUUUGAAAGAGGGUUGCGCGGAUCGAUAUAUCGGCUUGACUCAUCCCCUCUUCCCAUACCCCCUCCCCUCUCUCUCUCUCUCUCUCUCCCUCUCUGUCCCCGGGAUGAUGUUCCUGCUAGAUAUCGGCGUGAACAAAUAUACGCUACGCGACGAGUAUUCAUUAAUAACACGCAAUUCUCGUUCAAGUGAGAUUUUUGCACGACGCGAAUUAUUUUUCGAUCGUCGAGGUCAAAUUUUCAGGGAUUGUUAAAAUAAAAAGAGAGUAGGAAUUAAUGCCCGAUAGUUUAAAUCGACAGAUGGAAAAAUCUCGGUAGGUGGUAAUUAAAACCGUUGCGCAUUUUAAAACCGUGGGAUCCCACGCGUAAUUGAAUUAUUUAACGACGCGCUAAUACGGCUCUUGUGCGUAUCGUGUCGUACUUUGCAUGUCAAAUCGCGAAUUUGUAAUUAACGUAAUGAAACGUGAAGCUAAGGAAGAAGUGUCGGGGAGAGAAACUAAUGAAUAGUGAUUAGGAGCCUAACGUAAAUUCACCUGCGACCCGGCGAAACAAUCGGGCUCUCUGUGUCGUGGAAAUUAAGCAAGAUUUCCCAACGGCGCGUGGAAAACGCCGUUCCGAGUGAAUCAGCGUGAUGCAACGUUUCGUAACUGCGAAGUCUACCGCGGGGCUCUCUCGCGAAAUUAUCCUCGCCGCGCUCGUUUGUAUCUCGUGUUAUCGAAUUACCGCCGUAAUCCCUUUGACACUCUCGCACCAAAAAUUUCCGUGCCCCUCCCCCCCCUCUCUCUCUCUCUCUCUCUUUCGCAAAGCACCGUUGGCGGCUCCGUUGGCGAAGUAAAAGCGUUGCUGAUGUAACGCCGCCCGCCGUUACUUGUUGCGUCUAAAACUUCACGAACCGAAAUCUCCCUCUUGCGCCUCGUAAAUUUGCAAUAACCCGCGGAAUUAGCGAGUGUCCCACGUCGAUGUCGCGCGAUACCGGCCGUAAUUGCGCGCGCGAAACUCGCCGGGAUUAGACUACGGCGCUACUAAUUGAUGCGCGCAUCAAUUCGAGGGGCAAAAACACGGUCGCGGCACUUUGCACUAAACAUCAGAACAUAGUUAGACAUAUUGGAGCGAGCGGAAGUAAUUUACGGUGCACGCGACGAGUGGUUAAAUUUCGUGUUGUAAUCAACCUCGAUUUACUUACAGCGCGAAUAUCCGGGCAUCGAGCAGUCUUCUCGAAGCAUUUUUGCUUUGCUAUACUCGCGGCUCCCACUUUCUUGAAUAUUUUCGUGCACGGUUUUCUUUUGAUAAUACAACUUUCCCGAUAUAAUGGAUGGGAUACCGAGGCUUUGAAAUGAGGACGAGUAAUAUUAUUCUGGGAAUUGUAGAGGGAAGUAGAGGGAAGGAAACGCUAUGCGUAUACAAAUGUACGACACUCAUCCUCGCGGACCGGUGAUGUGGCAUGGGUUGUCCUCGUUCUAGAUUUAUUAUUGCUGUAACAAACGGUGCUGUGCUUUCCCUUUGAGGUCUUUAUUAUCAAGUAAGAAAAGCACUUGAAGACACGGUUAUUGAAACUUGCGACGAGCCGAUGGGAACAAAUUUACUGAAUUACUUUCAGGCACAAAAUGCCCUUUGAAGUUUAAAUCCUCUUUAUUUCGGACGGGAAAGAAGCUUACAGAAAUUUAUAUACAUCAAGCUACUAAUUACAACAACGGCGACAUUUAUUCAACGUGGCUCUUAGCGUCUCCCAUUGAGAAACUGUGCUCUCGUUUCUCUUUUACCUCUGUAAUCGUAUAAUCGCAGGUCUCCCAAAAAAUUUCUAUUAUCCCCCGUCGCGAUUCCUCGUCGAAAGUUCCGCCGCGAUUAUCGCGCGCGGCUACUCCUUUCGUCCACUCAUUGCGUCAUCCGGUGUUAACGGAAGUGUAACGUCAACCUAUACCAUAUUAUAAGCGUAAUUAUUUGCAAAAGUGUGCGCACGGUGACGGCGCCUAUCUCGCCGGUCGCGGCAUGGCACAUCGAGAUCGUUGCGCAACAUCCGACGUUCGGGUACACGCGAGAGCGAGCGGUAACGCGCUUUUCGCGCGGCGCGGCGCGGCGCGUACAUGCGCCGGCAUGUAGUUCGUCUCCGGCAAUCGAUAGACCUGAGUGACCGAGGAAAUUCGCGAACCGAGCCGAAAUUUCCAUCCACGUCGGAAGCGUCGCGAUGUUUGCUGCCGGAGGAGGAAGCCGGUCUAUCGAUCCCGCCUCGACCCAAAAAGAUAUGACGUGAAAGCAGCCCGUGAAGAAAAUACUGCAAGGAUCAUAAGGAUCAUACAUAUGUACGACAGUAAUCGAUAAUCGAGCACACCAUAUGGAAUACAAUCUGACGAGUCGUAUCUCUUAUCCGAGGAAGAACGAAUAUUGCCGAGCGCAUAAUACACGCAUCUGGGAGAAGCAACUUUACGAUAAAAUCCUUGCGAAAGGAUCAAUUUUCACUUCUGAAAUAGUUUAGACAUUCUAUCUGCGGAUGAUUGAAUCCUAUAACUAGUAUAACUUAUAAGAGCGAAGCCCAGAGAUGCUUAUUCUAUCAUAGAAAAGUGUAAACGAGAGUCUUUGUUUUAAAGUAUAGGAACACGCAACACAAAAUUUAAUAUCUUCCCCUCGUUUGAAACAUUUACCUCGGCGCGGGGAACAAAAAGCGUUCGCUCUGUUUUAUUCAUACGACCCGUUGUUGCUGCGUCCAACGUCAAUGGGAGGAGGACCAAGAAAGCGAGAGAGAGAGAGAGAGAGAGAGAGAGGAGCACUGAAGAAACGGAAAAAUGUUGGGCGUUAUACAGGCGGGCCUGACUCUUUGCUCGGCCCGUACUUUUAAUGUUGGGUGAGCAAAGUUUCAGGUGUGUUUGUGUCGCCGUAACGUCGUAACGUAGCGAAACGGAAAUAGCCCCUUUUAGCUACGAUCAUCGAGCCGGCGCCGGCGUGUGUUUUGACGGUACUCUUACGCCUGAAAUUUGCUUUUUUUACCUGGCCUCUGCGCUCUCUUACUUUGAGAAAAUAAAGGUGAGCAAAGUUUCAGGUGUGUGAGUUAGCGUUAAAUUUGUCGGCACGCCGAUCCAAAUACCCGUGUCCGAUAUUUUGCCUAAUAAUAUAGCUACAUAGCCGAAGACAAUUUGCGAUGGCCGCUAAUUAAAGUCAUUUGUAAUUUCUCAAAAGCGACGAACACACAAAAGGCUAUAUAUGCGAUUGGAUUGUUUUGCGAUAACACGAUAUUAUUGUUCGAUAAAUUACUCUGAAUACCGUGGCGAUACUCAGGCACGCCGGGAUCAACUGAAUUAAUUAAUUAAAUGGAACUUUAUUACGCAAUAAUUAGCUGUGUUGUUUAUCGGGACAUUUCCGAUGUUCGCACCACUAUUGAUACAUUGAUAUAUUUAUAUUUGAAGAUGCGAGAAUUUACAUCAACUUUUCUCGGCAUUCUCGUGAAUAAAUAAUAUUGCAGUUGUUGAUUUGUUAUGCGUGUUUGAGGUAUUAUAAUAAUUUAAUGAAAAAUGUGCAAUAGGUGUAACGUGCAAUUACAAAAAUUCACAGUCGUUUGAUCCACAGCGUUGAAGACUAAUGAAAAAUUAUUUUAUACAAUUUAUUACGAAUUAAUUUGUAAAAUAUGUAUUAAUUAAUAAUACUGAUAAUGUAAUAAAGUACACAUGAAUGCGUUAAUCAGCUGCAAAACCCCGUAUCGCUUAAAGAAAAAUUAUUUGCUGCGGACUUAAAAUAAGUUAAUUAAGCAUCAAAUAAAUUUUUGAUUAUUAAAAUGGCAAAUUUAUUCGCUGUAAUAUCCCACAAUUAUAUUUCUCGCCCACGUACAGAAAUAAAUGUUUCCAAACUGA